CCUACGGGUGGCAGCAGUGAGGAAUAUUGGUCAAUGGGCGCGAGCCUGAACCAGCCAAGUAGCGUGAAGGAUGAAUGCCCUACGGGUUGUAAACUUCUUUUAUAAAGGAAUAAAGUGAGGCACGUGUGCCUUUUUGUAUGUCCUUUAUGAAUAAGGCUCGGCUAACUCCGUGCCAGCAGCCGCGGUUAUACGGAGGGUCCGAGCGUUAUCCGGAUUUAUUGGGUUUAAAGGGAGCGUAGAUGGGUUGUUAAGUCAGUUGUGAAAGCUUGCGGCUCAACCGUAAAAUUGCAAUUGAUACUGGCAGUCUUGAGUACAGGUGGGGUAGGCGGAAUUCGUGGUGUAGCGGGGAAAUGCGUAGAUAUUAGGAGGAACACCAGUGGCGAAGGCGUCUUACUGGACCGAAACUGACGUUGAGGCUCGAAAGCGUGGGGAGCAAACAGGAUUAGAUACCCCAGUAGUC
rnacentral:rRNA from 1 species